UACAGGGGGAGCAAGCGUUGUUCGGAUUUACUGGGCGUAAAGGGCGCGUAGGCGGUCGUGACAAUUCACUUGUGAAAUCCCCGGGCUCAACCUGGGAACUGCAUCUGUGACUGCAUAGCUAGAGUACGGUAGAGGGGGAUGGAAUUCCGCGUGUAGCAGUGAAAUGCGUAGAUAUGCGGAGGAACACCGAUGGCGAAGGCAGCUUCUUGGUCCAUAUCUGACGCUGAAACACGAAAGCGUGGGGAGCAAACAGG
rnacentral:rRNA from 1 species